UACGGAGGAUCCGAGCGUUAUCCGGACUUAUUGGGUUUAAAGGGAGCGUAGGCGGGUUGUUAAGUCAGUUGUGAAAGUUUGCGGCUCAACCGUAAAAUUGCAGUUGAUACUGGCAUCCUUGAGUACAGUAGAGGUAGGCGGAACUCGUGGUGUAGCGGUGAAAUGCUUAGAUAUCACGAAGAACUCCGAUUGCGAAGGCAGCCUGCUGGACUGUAACUGACGCUGAUGCUCGAAAGUGUGGGUAUCAAACAGG
rnacentral:rRNA from 1 species